ensembl:lncRNA
GGCCAUCUUCAGAACGAAUUAUACACUAUGCAAUAUAUUGACAUUGGCGCUUUUAUUCUGAAGGUUUACUCAUUACAAUACGAGUAUGACGUCAUCGUUAGUGCUGCUGGUAGAACACUAUUCGAAUCAGUGUGACGAGAUCACCCCAGAGAAACAAGCAAGAGGGACCGUCAAAAGCCCAACACAAGCAACUUCUUGCUGCCAACGAAGCCCAAAAAAGCUAAGUUUUUUUUUACUAACACACUUAAGUUACGUUCAAAUUCAGCGAAAAUACAAAAAUAAAUGUCUGUCUUAAAGGUGGAAUUACAUUUCAAACCACAUAGGCAGUAGAUCAGCUUUUAUUUAAACUCGUUCUCAGUUAUGUGCCUGAUGGCGAAAAUAAUGCACAAGCCCGUUUAUCAAUCCGCGCUUUUGUCCGUUCUUCUGUUCUCGUGAAUUUGAUUGACGUCAUCUUUCAUGGCCCAAGUACUGUUCCAAUCCAAAGAAUGCAAGUUACCAAGAACGCCUAAAAUGCCGAGAAGGGUCCAACUGCAGCUUGCAGCAGUCGCUCACGCCAGGCCCCCUGCUCACGCCGCGCCCGCGCACGCCGCGCCCCCGCUGGCACGCAACUUCCGACUUUCAGACAUGUACGGUUUGUUUACAAGACGCAGAUGGACCAUAUUGCCAUAUUGAGUCAUGGCGGCAACAACUCCCGGGAAGCACCUGUGACUUAGCUCAUCACAUUGCUCUGGGCCAGUGGGCAACUAAAUUUGGCAAAGACAUUGAGGUGCAUCUCUCCAACCACGGUUUCCCUCAUCAAACUACUGUACAUUCUUGUGGCAUCUUAAUGUUGAUGUAUGCACUCAGCCUGAGCACAGAGGCUCCAUUUUGGUUCAUGGAGAGGGACAUGGCACGCAUCUGAAAAUGGUGGUGCAUUAGUCUAAUGGAACGGUUCCAGAUUGACGGCCAUGGACAGAGGUUUGCAUACUGGACUAAUGAGGCCAGAGCAUUGCUCCAAGGUUCACUGCAGCCGAUAUACAGGGUCCCAAGGUCAGCAAGAGGGAACAUGAGGUGUCGCUACAUGGAGCAGGUUUUCUGAGUCCUACAGAAAAGAAUUCUACACCAUGUACACCGUGGACACCUGUCGUGAAUGUGGAAUGCUUUUCAAAAACUGCACACCUGUCUAGCCUGAAGGUUGUUGCCAGACAUCUGCUCAUCUGCACAAUCCUCUGGAUUGUCACCCUCUUCCUCAUGCUGAGGAUGGUCCUCCACAUCCAAGAUGUCGUCCAUAGAGAGACAAAGGUUGUGGAGAAUGCAGCAGGCAGCAACCACCUUGGGGCACAAACAGAGGACGCAUUACCAGAGCCCUCAGAAAGAUGGAUCUCCAACGGGUUUUCAGCAUGCCAAAUGUGCGCUCGAUUACUCACCUUGGUGUGGUGUACGUAGAACCGGGCCUCAUGGUGUAGAAACGUUAUACAGUUGCAUUAUUUGGUAGUGUUGUUAUUUACUGUGUUAUUUAAGUCCACUACCAAGAUCAUCAUGUAUAAGUCUAAGUCUUUGAUCAGUGUUGAAAACAAAGGGUACUUGGUAGUGAUCUCAGACAUUUGGAGCCCACUGUGUGUUUGUGUGUUUUGGCAACCUUGGAUUUAGGUCCAGUAAAUAUCCCAAGCAGCUACAGGCUGUUGAAACGUGGUGAUAACAGCCACGGGAUGCUGCAGGCAUGGAUAUUCACCAUCUUCUGAAAAUAAUUCUGUUUGAUUUUGUUCAAUAAAGUGUUUUAGACCAUUAUUCCACAUUGUGUUGUUUAUAAAUGUUCAUAACUGAAUUCUAAACAUCUUAACUCAUUGUGAAGUGGUUGAUUGUCAUUGCUAUACUGUGUAAUUUGUGCUCUAAGAUGAUUUGGACCUUCUAAAACUGUUCUGAUUCAGACUGUGGAAUUGGAAACAAGCAGUUGCCAGUAGGUAACUCCAGUAAGGCAUUUACUUAAUGAGAUGGUUGGGGUUUCCAUUAAGGUUUUCAACUGAAGUAAAAUGGUUUGGUUACUAUUCCAUCACCUACACUGAGAAAGACCAGUGCCAACAUGAUGUAGCCUUGCCAUCCUCUGUCUCAUUCUGGCCCUCAGGAUUAGGUGCCUUUGCUCAGGGUCCUCCUAUAUAUACAUCUAUCUCUAAUAGGUUGUUUUGACUAUCUUCUACCUCUGCUUUUAAACGCUGGUAGCUCGUUAAUGUGCUUGUGAAAUUCACGAGGUACCAGCGGGAAAAAGCGGAGGAAAAAGAUACGCAACCGAUUGGAUAGAUAGGUUAUAUAGGUAUUAGUUAGACAAAUAUAUCUGUAUAUUGUGGUACAGACAUGCCAAUUCACACGGG